rnacentral:rRNA from 1 species
AUGGCCAUACCAUGUUGAAAACACUGGUUCUGGUCCAAUCACCGAAGUUAAGCAAUGUCUGGCAUGGUCAGUACUUGGGAGGGUGACCACCUGGGAACAUCGGGUACUGCUGUAGGCU